rnacentral:rRNA from 1 species
CACCUACGGGGGGCAGCAGUGGGGAAUAUUGCACAAUGGGGGAAACCCUGAUGCAGCAACGCCGCGUGAAGGAAGACGGUUUUCGGAUUGUAAACUUCUUUUCUUAGUGAAGAAGCAAGUGACGGUAGCUAAGGAAUAAGCAUCGGCUAACUACGUGCCAGCAGCCGCGGUAAUACGUAGGGGGCGAGCGUUGUCCGGAAUCACUGGGCGUAAAGGGCGCGUAGGCGGUAAUAUAAGUCAGAUGUGAAAGGUGGGGGCUCAACCCCUAGAGUGCAACUGAUACUGUAUAACUUGAGUGUGAGGGG